GACGAACGCUGGCGGCGUGCCUAAUACAUGCAAGUCGAGCGGACAGAAGGGAGCUUGCUCCCGGAUGUUAGCGGCGGACGGGUGAGUAACACGUGGGUAACCUGCCUGUAAGACAGGGAUAACUCCGGGAAACCGGAGCUAAUACCGGAUAGUUCCUUGAACCGCAUGGUUCAAGGAUGAAAGACGGUUUCGGCUGUCACUUACAGAUGGACCCGCGGCGCAUUAGCUAGUUGGUGAGGUAACGGCUCACCAAGGCGACGAUGCGUAGCCGACCUGAGAGGGUGAUCGGCCACACUGGGACUGAGACACGGCCCAGACUCCUACGGGAGGCAGCAGUAGGGAAUCUUCCGCAAUGGACGAAAGUCUGACGGAGCAACGCCGCGUGAGUGAUGAAGGUUUUCGGAUCGUAAAGCUCUGUUGUUAGGGAAGAACAAGUGCAAGAGUAACUGCUUGCACCUUGACGGUACCUAACCAGAAAGCCACGGCUAACUACGUGCCAGCCGCCGCCGUAAUAC
rnacentral:rRNA from 1 species